CAGUCGAGGAUUUUUUAUUACAUACCAGUCGAACGAACUCUGAUAUUGAUUAGGUGCUUGAAUCAUGAUUUACAUUUGAGUGAGUGGCGAACUGGUGAGUAACACGUGGGAAACCUGCCCAGAAGCGGGGGAUAAAACCUGGAAACAGAUGCUAAUACCGCAUAACAACUUGGACCGCAUGGUCCGAGUUUGAAAGAGGGCUUCGGCUAUCACUUUUGGAUGGUCCCGCGGCGUAUUAGCUAGAUGGUGAGGUAACGGCUCACCAUGGCAAUGAUACGUAGCCGACCUGAGAGGGUAAUCGGCCACAUUGGGACUGAGACACGGCCCAAACUCCUACGGGAGGCAGCAGUAGGGAAUCUUCCACAAUGGACGAAAGUCUGAUGGAGCAACGCCGCGUGAGUGAUGUAGGGUUUCGGCUCGUAAAACUCUGUUGUUAAAGAAGAACAUAUCUGAGAGUAACUGUUCAGGUAUUGACGGUAUUUAACCAGAAAGCCACGCUAACUACGUGCCAGCAGCCGCGGUAAUAGG
rnacentral:rRNA from 1 species